GGGCGCCGGAUGCGGUGAAAGUCGCAUGUCCGGUGCUAGUCGGGGGAAAAGCUGGAGAUAAUUUCAAAGGCUUACCUAUCGAAAC
rnacentral:ncRNA from 1 species